CACACUUGCAAACAGCGAUGGAAAAGGGAGACAGAGAGUGAGUGUGAGAGACAGGCAGAGUGAGAGAGACACAGAGUGAGUGUGAGAGACACAGAGUGAGUGUGAGAGACAGGCAGCAUGAGAGACAGACAGCAUGAGAGAGACACAGAGUGAGUGUGAGGGACACAGAGUGAGUGAGAGACAGGCAGAAUGAGAGAGACACAGAGUGAGUGUGAGAGACAGGCAGAAUGAGAGAGACACACAGAGUGAGUGUGAGGGACAGACA